AACGCGUGAGUAACCUGCCUUACACAAGGGGAUAGCCUCUGGAAACGGAGAAUAAUACCCUAUGAAACUAUCUUAUCGCAUGAAAAGAUAGUCAAAGUGUUUUAGCGGUGUAAGAUGGACUUGCGUCUGAUUAGCUAGUUGGUGAGAUAACAGCCCACCAAGGCAACGAUCAGUAGCCGGCUUGAGAGAGUGUGCGGCCACAUUGGGACUGAGACACGGCCCAG
rnacentral:rRNA from 1 species